rnacentral:rRNA from 1 species
UACGUAGGGGCCGAGCGUUGUCCGGAGUUAUUGGGCGUAAAGCGCGCGCAGGCGGCUUCGCGCGCCCGACGUGAAAGCCCCCGGCUUAACCGGGGAGAGUCGUUGGGGACGGCGGAGCCUGAGGGCGGGAGAGGGCGGUGGAAUUCCCGGUGUAGUGGUGAAAUGCGUAGAGAUCGGGAGGAACACCUGUGGCGAAGGCGGCCGCCUGGGCCGACCCUGACGCUGAGGCGCGAAGGCGUGGGGAGCGAACG